rnacentral:lncRNA from 1 species
CUUUCUUUUGUCGGCGGUGUGCAGAAGUGUAUACAAAGGAGAAGGUCGGGUCAUUCCAGCCACUCCCUAAACAUGGGGCAAACAUGUCUCGGGCGUCAGUCAGGAGAUGCAGCACGGCCCGCCGCGAGUCUGGCACCACAUCGGUUUCACUCAAACUAACUCCUCAGCCACAGCGGUGCUCGAGUCCAACCUGUACCCGCCCAAGCGUCUGCAACUCCCCGGCAUCCUGCUGCUGCUCCUCCUCAUCGGUGUCCUUGUGAAAGCAGUCCCAUCUCAAGAUCCUGCCACUACUGAAGAGAACCAAACCAGCGUGUCUUAACCUCCCAACCUGCGAUAGGAAACCGAGUCGUCUUCCACUGGAAGACGCUAACCGUCUCGCUGCACAUUGCAUGGAGGAAUUGGACUCUGCCUCGCACCAUCUGACUACCACGCUAACGGUCUCGCUGCACAUUGCAUGGAGGAAUUGGACUCUGCCUCGCACCAUCUGACUACCACGCUAACGGUCUCGCUGCACAUUGCAUGGAGGAAUUGGACUCUGCCUCGCACCAUCUGACUACCACGCUAACGGUCUCGCUGCACAUUGCAUGGAGGAAUUGGACUCUGCCUCGCACCAUCUGACUACCUCGCUUCUAACGGUCUAACCUAACCAAUACAUGUUGUCGAUCACUCUUGUAAUGUUAUUUAUUCCUUCCAUUUAAUGUACAUGUUGUCGAUCACUCUUGUAAAUGUUGUUCAUUCAUUCCAUUUUAUGUUAAUGUACCCACUUAACUGGUUAAGUAUUAAUAAAUCAUAAAAUUGA